GACGUAGGGGGCGAGCGUUGUCCGGAUUCACUGGGCGUAAAGGGCGUGUAGGCGGUUACGUAAGUCCGGCGUGAAAUUUCCCGGCUCAACUGGGAGGGUGCGUCGGAUACUGCGUUGACUUGAGGACGGUAGAGGCAAGUGGAACUAGCGGUGUAGCGGUGAAAUGCGCAGAUAUCGCUAGGAACGCCGGUGGCGAAGGCGACUUGCUGGGCCGAUCCUGACGCUGAGGCGCGAAAGCUAGGGGAGCGAACCGG
rnacentral:misc_RNA from 1 species